GGGCAGAGCUGUUUCAGUGGGGAGGCAGGGAAGGAUGCUAGAUUAAGCAAAGAGUAAAUGUGUCCUGAAGCUGUGGAAUCAGUGAGUGUGAAGAGGUGUUUUGAGAAGCUUGAUAGAUUGAGGAGUGAAGGAAAAUGGCCCUCAUUUCUCUUUAAUUAUAGGGAAGAUCUGAAAAUGUUGCUAAACAAUGGAAAAGGGUUCAUUAAACAGGGAGACUUCAACUGUGUAAAAGAGAUGGGGCCACUGAGGGGUAAAGAAUGUCAAGAAGAGACAGAUGGGAGAAGGACAAAGAGUAGCUGAGAGGUUGAGCUUUGGAGCUGGACAUACUAAGAUCUGAAUCCCAGCUCUACCUUUUUCUAGCUGUGCAUCCUUGGGCAAAUUGCUUAACCUUUCUGGGCCAUUGCCUAGACUUUAAAAUGGGGUUAAUAAUGCUUGCCUCACAGAGUUGUUCUAAGAGCCAAAUAAAUAGAAUGCUAUGGAAUGUUCUCUCAUGCCUGACUCCUUGUGAUCCCAUGAACUGCAGGCUGCCAGGCUCCUCUGUCCAUGGAAUUUUUCCAGUGACUGUGGAGGUCAGGUAUUCAAGAUCACAGCAGCUCCUGAUGAAAGGAGCCUGGAUCCCUGAGUCAUCACCUGGAGGAGAGCCACCAGAAAAGCCUGUCCUUCUGCAUCAGACUAUGAGAUCUCAUCUGGUCGAUGCUGUGGUCCUGGGAGAGAGACAUUGCCAUCCUUACUUCACAGAUGAGAUGCUGAAGCUGGGAGGUGGUUCCUGAUCUUGUACCUAGAUUAAGAAGGCCAAGGCAAGCACUCCUAUCUUAAUGAGAUGCAUGUGUCCCUGGGGCUGUCUCUGACAAACUGCUCUUGGCUCUUUUCUCUUUGCUACCUUAUUCUGAACAUGCCACUAUAAUGUUCAUAUGGGUAGGACCUUGUUUUCUCAUUUAUAAUCACAUUCCCAGAACCAGGCCUAACAUGUAGUAGGUGUUUAUUAA
ensembl:lncRNA